rnacentral:misc_RNA from 1 species
AAGUCGUAACAAGGUUUCCGUAGGUGAACCUGCGGAAGGAUCAUUAACACAUAGUCCAUUUGAUGAUGGUUGAAGUGUAUUCUUUUUUAGAGAAUUUUUUCUCUUUAUUGAUACAUUCUCCAUCAUUCAAACCAAUUAGCAAAUGAGUUGAAGUCCUCAUUAUUAAUUAACUUUAAUAAUUGUGUGGAAUAAAACAAAUGUAAUCACGUUUAAUGAAUUCUUUUAAAAAAAAAAGAAUUCAUUCGACUAAUGUUUACUCAAAAAAACAAAUAUAACCAAGACAACUUGUAACAGUGGAUACCUUGGUUCCCAG